CCCGCUACAGAAACUCAAAGGAAUUGACGGGGCCCGCACAAGCGGAGGAACAUGUGGUUUAAUUCGAUGAUACGCGACGGAACUUACCUGGGCUCAAAUGUAUGUUGACGUAUUCUGAAAGGGAUACUUCUUCGGACAAUAUACAAGGUGCUGCAUGGUUGUCGUCAGCUCGUGCCGUGAGGUGUCGGGUUAAGUCCCAUAACGAGCGCAACCCCUAUCAUUAGUUGCCAUCAGGUCAAGCUGGGGACUCUAAUGAAACUGCCUACGCAAGUAGUGAGGAAGGUGGGGAUGACGUCAAGUCAUCAUGGCCCUUACGGCCUGGGCUACACACGUGCUACAAUGGUCGGUACAAAGGGUUGCCAAGCCGCGAGGUGGAGCUAAUCCCAUAAAACCGAUCGUAGUCCGGAUCGCAGUCUGCAACUCGACUGCGUGAAGUCGGAAUCGCUAGUAAUCGUGAAUCAGAAUGUCACGGUGAAUACGUUCCCGGGCCUU
rnacentral:rRNA from 1 species